rnacentral:rRNA from 1 species
UACGUAGGUGGCAAGCGUUGUCCGGAAUUACUGGGCGUAAAGGGCGCGUAGGCGGCGCAACAAGUCACUUGUGAAAUCUCCGGGCUUAACUCGGAGCGGUCAAGUGAUACUGUCGUGCUAGAGUGCGGAAGGGGCUACUGGAAUUCUCGGUGUAGCGGUGAAAUGCGUAGAUAUCGAGAGGAACACCUGCGGCGAAGGCGGGUAGCUGGGCCGACACUGACGCUGAUGCGCGAAAGCCGGGGGAGCGAACGGG